CUCUCUCUUUUAUAUCUCCAACACAACCCAUUAUAAUACCUACACAAUUCACGUCAGGUUUGCAAUGCCUAAAUGUGCAAUACAAUACAUAGUACAUGCAUGAAACAUCCUCAGUUUAUUAACUCACUCACAGGACGAGGAAGGUUGCAUGAGGACCGGCCCCUGGAGCCACCUUUAUCUAUGUUUCCUAGUAUGCUGUAUACGUCUGUCAGAGAUUCAAGCAAAGCCGCUUCAUAGCGGCAGCCCAAUGCAGUACGAGCUUUGGUUAAUCCUCAAGCACCGGAACUACUGCAGAUGACAAUUCAAUAUGCGACAUGCGAACUGCCCCAAUCAACCGUUCUGGGAGCUCCUCGUAUGUAUU
rnacentral:lncRNA from 1 species